UGGGGAAUAUUGCACAAUGGGCGAAAGCCUGACGCAGCGACGCCGCGUGAGGGAUGAAGGCCUUCGGGUUGUAAACCUCUUUCAGCAGGGACGAAGCGAAAGUGACUGUACCUGCAGAAGAAGCACCGGCUAACUACGUGCCAGCAGCCGCGGUAAUACGUAGGGUGCAAGCGUUGUCCGGAUUUAUUGGGCGUAAAGAGCUCGUAGGCGGCUCGUCGCGUCGGAUGUGAAAACUCGGGGCUUAACCCC
rnacentral:rRNA from 1 species